GGAUUGUGGCUCAGUGGUAGAGUGCUUGCCUAGCGUGUGUAGGGCCCUGGAUUCGAUCCUCAGCACCA
rnacentral:tRNA from 1 species